ensembl:lncRNA
AUGGUGCACAUCUGUGGUCCAGCUACUCAGGAGACUGAAGCAGGAGGAUUGCUUGAGCCCAGGAGUUCAAGGCUGCAGCGAGCUAUGAUCGCACCACUGCACUUCAGCCAGGGCAACAGAGUGAGACCUUGUCUCGAAAACAAAACAAAACAAAAUAGGCCAGCACAGUGGCUCAUUUCUGUAAUCCUAGCACUUUGGGAAGCCGAGGCUAGUGCAUCCCUUGUGCCCAGGAGUUCGAGACAAGCCUGGAGAAAAGAAAGAGCAAAUGGGCCGGGCGCAGUGGCUCAUGCCUGUAAUCCCAACGCUUGCAAGGCAGGCAGAUCAUUUGAAGUCAGGAGUUCGAGACCAGCCUGGCCAACAUGGUAAAACCCUAUCUCUGCUAAAAAUAUAAAAAUUAGCCAGGUGCAGUGGUGCACACCUGUGGUCCCAGCUACUCAGGAAGCCACGGCAGGAGAAUUGCUUGAACCUGGGAGGCACAGGUUGCAGUGAGCAAAAUCACACCACUGCACUCCUGCCUGGGUGACAGAGCGAGACUCCAUCUCAAAAAAAAAAAAAAAAAAAAAAAAAAAAAGAAAAGAAAAGAAAAGAAAGAGCAUAUGAGUAGAAUCAAAGACCAUUAAAAUUUUCAAAUGCAGAUGGCUGAGGGAGUGAUAGAACCACUGAAUGUAAUAGGUGGUCUAAAUCUGUUAAGUUUUAGAUUCGUUGGUUGUAGCUCUCCAUGGGGUCAUCCAACUGGAGAUAACUUGAUUACAUCCAACAAUGGCCUUGGCAUUGAUUAAUCCUUCUCUCCCUUCCCUUCCUUCCCUCUAGCUAUUUAGUUUCCAAGUAGUAUUGCUCUUUUUCAUGAAAAUACCUUGUUUCUGUCUCUUGCUUUCUCUUAUCUGUUCGCUGCUGUCUCUCCAGUUCAGGUUCUUGUCCUCACAUCCCAGAUUAUUAUAAUAACCUCCUAACUGGUGCCUGCUCACAGACAUCAUUGAAACAUUCUGGUCUUGGUGGGAGCAGUUUAAAGUAAUUGUUCCAAAUGGACAAAAUGGCUUGUUAUACCUUUCUUCCUUCGAUGCCAUGUGAAUGGCUACAGGAAAGAGUCAUCCUGGUUCCACUUUCCUCCCAUGCAAAGUGCCGGGUCCAGGGGAGCUGUGAUUUAGCAGCUUUGUUGCACUCAAGACAAUCGACCCGAAAUUCUUUCUAUUGAUGAUUGGCUGUUGUGGAGGGAAUUGAGGCUAUGAGAGAUGGGCAAUGUCCUGCAGUCACAGCCCAGUAAGGACACUAAGUGACUCUUGGAGAGUGACAAAUGAAGGCAGGGUACUUGGUGAAUGGUUAUCUCACCCUCUUUUUCUUUUUCUUUUGUUUUUCUUUGAGACGGAGUCUCGCUAUGUCGCCCAGCCUGGAGUGCAAUGCCACGAUCUCGGCUCACUGCAAUCUCCCCCUCCUGGGUUCAAGCGAUUCUCCUGCCUCAACCUCCCGAGUAGCUGGGAUUACAGGCGCCCACCACCAUGCCCAGCUAAUUUUGUAUUUUUAGUAGAGACGGGGUUUCACCACAUUGGUCAGGCUGGUCUCAAACUCCUGACCUCGUGAUCCACCCACCUCGGCCUCCCAAAGUGCUGGGAUUACAGGUGUGAGCCACCAUGUCCGGCCUCACCCUCUUAACUUGUCAGUUUGGAGCUAAGCAUCAGGAACAUGAAGCAAGGGUGAAGCAGAAGGAGUCACCCCAGAAACUGAGGAAUAACAAGAACAUAGUGGUAGGAGGAGCCAGAGUUAAGGGCGGGCAGGCAGUGCAGCUACGUAGGUUGGGAGGACAAGAAAUCACAGAAAGUAAAGGACAGAAGGAGUAGCAUGCAUGAACCAUGGGGUAAGCAAGCAGGAGGUCAAAUCCAGGGACCCAGGAUCCCUGGCAGGUAGCUGACGGUGGGGAGACAGUUGAGGUAUGGCCUAGGAAAUCAAGGGUCAGGGAGUGGGAAUCCAGACUGGGAGACUGGAAAGCAACAGGUCAGGCACCAGGCAGAGGGCUGAACGUUAGGGGUGGGGUCCUCAGGCCAACAAGUCCCAGAAACAGAUAUAAGCAGCAAGAAUGGAGCCCAAAAUUUUAUAAGUCAAGGGGUCUCAAUUUUCCAAUUAGAGCCAGACCUGCCUCAGGGCAUGUGUUCCUUAUAACUUGAAUGUAGCUUUAAAAAUAUGAUUAUGGCUGGGUGUAAUCCCAGUAUUACGCCUGUAAUCCCAGUACUUUGGGAGGCCGAGGUGGGCAAAUCACCUGAGGUCAGGAGUUCAAGACCAGUUUGACCAACACAGUGAAACCCCAUCUCUACUAAAAAUACAAAAUUAGUUGGGCGUGGUGGUGCAUGCCUGUAAUCCCAGCUACUUGGGAGGCAGAGGCAGGAGAACCACUUGAACCUGGGAGGCAGAGGUUGCAGUGAUUGGAGAUCAUGCAUUGCACUCCAGCCUGGGCAACAAGAGCGGAACCACGUUGGUCAGGCUGGUCUCGAACUCCUGACCUCGUGAUCCGCCCACCUCAGAUAUAAAUACACAUAUAUACACACACACACACACAUAUAUAUGUAUGUAUUAUUUUUUGCCUAGCCAGAGAUGUAAAGAACAUAUUCCUAGUAUUUAUUCCUAUGCUGCUCUGAAUCCAAGAAUCAUUCAGUCACUCCUUUGGGAAUGGAAUCAGCCCACAUAUCUCUCUAGAGUGAGAAGGCAGAGAGAAGGAGCAGGAAGGGAUAACAUUUGGAGUUGGCCAGGUCCAAGAGCUCACGACAUAAUGUUCUAAAUGGCCAAAUGCUGGCUGUCAUGUCUCGCACCUGUAAUUCCAAUGCUUUGGAAGGCCGAGAGGAUUGUUCGAGGCCAGGAGUUCGAGACCAGCUUGGGUGACAUAGCGAGACCUUGUCUCUACAAAAAAAAAAAAAAAAAAAAAUUAGCCAGGUGUUGUGGCACGCACCUGUAAUCCUAGCUACUCAGGAGGCUGAGGCAGGAGGAUCGCUUGAGCCCAGGAGUUUGAGAUUAUAGCACCACUGCACUCCAGCCUGGGUGACAGAGAGAAGCCCUGUCUUAAAAAAAAAAAAAAAAAAAAAAUGUACUCCUUGUUAUCAAAAGCUUGAGAUCUGAUAAAUGCCUCAACCCAAGCAGGACAACUAAGAGUUUUAAAGUUUUAAAGGAGGCCAGUGGGGAUUUUGCGGGAGCCAAGUCUUCUCUAAUUUACCAAUCAGUCAUUUACCUCUGCAUUCCCUGAGAACAGAAAUAAAAUUGGUACAAAUUGACAUAUUCUGUAAUAUGUUCAAAGUGUUCUUUAAUUAGUUCG